rnacentral:rRNA from 1 species
GACGUAGGGCGCGAGCGUUGUCCGGAUUUAUUGGGCGUAAAGAGCUCGUAGGCGGCUUGUCGCGUCGUCCGUGAAAACCUGCAGCUCAACUGCGGGCUUGCGGUCGAUACGGGCAGGCUCGAGUUCGGUAGGGGAGACUGGAAUUCCUGGUGUAGCGGUGAAAUGCGCAGAUAUCAGGAGGAACACCGGUGGCGAAGGCGGGUCUCUGGGCCGAUACUGACGCUGAGGAGCGAAAGCGUGGGGAGCGAACAGG